GGUGGUACAGUCACCUCUUUCACCCUCCUCCUCAUCAGAGGAUGGACUUCCACAUGGAGAAAUCUUGGCUGUCCUACCAUCAGCUCUGCCUUGCACUGUGAAUAUCAACUUUCCUCAGAUCAAGAGGAAGCAGACAUUAAAGUACUCCCAGAUCAAACCUGCGCCCUCUGAGCUGCACUAUUACAACUGGAAGACCCGUCCUUGAGGAAAUUCCACAAAAGGCCUCCCCAACUUGCAGGAUGAUUGCCAAGACGUAAGAGUUCAAGAUGGGACUCAUAAAUAGUUACAAUUAAGUGCAAAACAGUUUCAUUCCUCUUAUAAAAAUCCAAGCCCUUUAAUCAGCAGGGAGCAGGUAGGACAGUCUUGCCCUCAUUCCCUCAAGACUGAGGAGAUGUACAAAGAAAAAGGAAAUUGAAACAGCAUGUAAAACAUUGACCAACAUAAACUGGUUUGCCUCAAAUAGGUUGUUGAUUCAUCAAACCUUGAGUUAUUUUAAAGACGGCACCGCACAUGUGCUAGACAGGAAUCCAUGUCUCCAGGAUGACCCCAGAACAAAGAAUCUUCAGUCUACGAACAUAAAGAAUAGAAAUGUUGCCACCAGAGAGCCCUUUACAAAGAGAAGAGUCCUUAAAUGAGGAAAAUCUGGCUUCUAGCAGCACGAGUAACUUAUGUGGACUGACUUAAGACUAGCCAAUCAGCUUAUUCCCCCAACCCCUCACAUUUCGCCCCAAACCCUGGAUCAGGGAGACAGAUUUUAGCCCUGCCUCCUGCCUCCUUGUCUGUUGACCCCGCGAUAAAGCUCUUUCAUUUCUCAAAAGCCCGUGCCAUAGUAUUGGGUGCUAUGUGCAUCAGGCAGUGAGCCCUUUCUUGGUAACAAUAGAUUUAUUCUCCUUAUUUCUGAGGGAAAUAUUGUAUUAAGUUUUAGACACAGGGAGAAAUUAGAAGACAGCAAAAGAUGGCACUUAUGUAAGAAGAAGAAGGGAAACUAACACUCAGCGAGCAUUUAUGUACCAGGUAAUAUGCAGGACACAUUGCAUGUAUGAUUUCAUCCUCAGUACAGGAUA